UCAUAGCUAAGUGGGUAGAGACCUGCCUGCAAUGCAGGAGACCCAGGUUCAAUCCCUGGGCCAGGAA
rnacentral:tRNA from 1 species